GAGCACGUAGGUGGGUUUGUAAGUCAGAUGUGAAAGCCUUCUGUUCAACGGAAGAAUUGCAUCUGAAACUGCGAGUCUUGAGUGUAGGAGGGGAGAAUGGAACUUCUGGUGGAGCGGUGAAAUGCGUAGAUAUCAGAAGGAACUCCGGCGGCGAAAGCGAUUCUCUGGCCUAUUACUGACACUCAGUGUGCGAAAGCUAGGGGAGCAAACGGGAUUAGAUACCCCGGUAGUCCUGGCCGUAAACGAUGGGCACUAAGUAGAGGGGUUUU
rnacentral:rRNA from 1 species